rnacentral:rRNA from 1 species
GACGAACGCUGGCGGCGUGCUUAACACAUGCAAGUCGAACGAAGAGCGAUGGAAGCUUGCUUCUAUCAAUCUUAGUGGCGAACGGGUGAGUAACGCGUAAUCAACCUGCCCUUCAGAGGGGGACAACAGUUGGAAACGACUGCUAAUACCGCAUACGAUCUGACCUCGGCAUCGAGGAUAGAUGAAAGGUGGCCUCUAUUUAUAAGCUAUCACUGAAGGAGGGGAUUGCGUCUGAUUAGCUAGUUGGAGGGGUAACGGCCCACCAAGGCGAUGAUCAGUAGCCGGUCUGAGAGGAUGAACGGCCACAUUGGGACUGAGACACGGCCCAGACUCCUACGGGAGGCAGCAGUGGGGAAUCUUCCGCAAUGGACGAAAGUCUGACGGAGCAACGCCGCGUGAGUGAUGACGGCCUUCGGGUUGUAAAGCUCUGUUAAUCGGGACGAAAGGCCUUCUUGCGAAUAGCUAGAAGGAUUGACGGUACCG